rnacentral:lncRNA from 1 species
GGAUGCCAUGGAUCCAUCUUGGCUGUCAAGAGAGGAUGCUGUGGAGAAAGAGUGCUUUCUACAAAGGUGCUGAGGUCUGUGCCUAAGCUACCAUGAUUUGAGGGGUACUGUGUUCUUAUGGUCUUCUCCUGUCUCUCACAGCCCAGGGCUCUAACAGCUGACUUGUUGUCCCUCCUUCUUGGCUCUGGGGAAGCCUGCACCCUCUCUUUACUACAACAGAGACCUAAUGACUGCUUACCUCGCUCCAUCCCACCCACAGCUUGAGCUCUAUUCUCAAUAGAGCAUCUCCCAUCCCUAGUCCUAGAGGUGAAAUGAAUAUUUCUGGGGUUCUUUCUGCCAUUGUAGGACUGGGUUCCUGCAAUACAGCUGACCUCCCAAUGG